AUUGAACGCUGGCGGCAGGCUUAACACAUGCAAGUCGAGCGAGCGGCGGACGGGUGAGUAAUGUCUGGGAAACUGCCUGAUGGAGGGGGAUAACUACUGGAAACGGUAGCUAAUACCGCAUACCCUCAGAUGUGCCCAGAGGGGCUUAGCUAGUAGGUGGGGUAAUGGCUCACCUAGGCGACGAUCCCUAGCUGGUCUGAGAGAAUGACCAGCCACACUGCAACUGUGACAUGGUCCAGACUCCUACGGGUGGCAGCAGUGGGGAAGAUUGCAAAAUGGGCGCAAGCCAGAUGAAGCCAUGCCGCGUUAGUGAAGAAGGCCUUCGGGUUGUAAAUCACUGUCAGCGAGGAGGCGUUACUCGAAAAUGAAGCACCGGCUAAUUCCUAGCCAGCAGACGCGGUAAUAC
rnacentral:rRNA from 1 species